rnacentral:lncRNA from 1 species
ACACAUAUAACACACCAUGGCGAGAAAUAUUGGACAUGGUCGAAAUUCUUGUACCCAGAUCCCAGAUGGUAAAAUUCUUGCGCGCGUGCAGCAAAAUGACCACUAUCGCGUUUUGUAAAGAGUUGGACAAUCUUACGACGGCUGAUUAUUACGCUGUUUCUAACCAAAAGAAAAGGAGAAAGAAUGAAUACGGAGAAAAUUAUUUUGCCAUAGAUCGUUUAAUUGUCGAGAGAAGCGAGCAAUGCGUAAGUUCGAAUACAACAACAUAAAAAAAAAGAAAAAAAGCUGAUAUUGGCACUGAAAAUGACCAAAAUUGCGAAAAAAUAUUCGAAAAUGUUUGAAACCAUGGCAACAAGCCAAGGCUUGGUCGCUUAGCAAAGAUGGACGAUUAAAAACAACUUCAGUUCGUUCUCGAAGUGUUUUUGAUGGAAAACGGCUGAUUUUGAUAAAAUAUAAGCACAAAACAUGCUGAUUUUGAAGGGCAAAACCGCAAGAAGUAUAUAUUCUUCAUGUUUUUGCACUGAUGAGUGUUCAAGAUCAUCGCUUGAAGUUUUGAAAACCGUUGGAAACGUUUGCAUAUUGUUGGCUGAUCUCGCGUAAACCUUAGAUGAACGAUAGCCAAAAUCGAGAAUUCGACGUCAAUAACUACAUUUCCCUAUGUUCACACGCUGUUGGCUAUUUUGUGAAAAACCGCAAGAGAUAUGAACGUCUGAAUACUAUCUAUUAUAUCAAAAUAUCGGGUUUUACGUCUUAAAACAAAAUCAGUUGGAAAUGAGAAACAUUUUCAAAAGAGUUUUGAGGUAAGGCCAUACUUGUUCUUUACCCCAUUCAAACUCCUAUAGUUUUGCGUGCCCAUUUUG